UUACGUUUGCAGCGAGCACUUUGCUCCCGAUUGUUUUAAAUCGGACCUAAGACAGAAACUUACACCAUGGCAACCUUUAAAAAGGCGACUGAAGCGGGAUGCAGUACCAUCGAUCUUUUCAUUUGGCCCUCAACCCAGUAAAAAGCGUCUGUCUAGCGAGCAUCGUACAGAGAAACGUCAGGCUGAUCAAGACAAGGAGGAACUUUUAAAUAUUUUAGAACAAUGUUCCUCCACAAGUACAAAUGUUUUCUCAGUGAUUGAGCCUGAAGCAAAUAACAGUUGUGAUUUGGGUGCGUCUGACAGUCCUGAAGCAUUGCCAACUAAUUAUUGCAAGCCAGAAACCAAAGAUGCAUCAACAGUGUUCAUUUGUUGUGAGGAGUUUACAUGCCAUGGAAGUCCAAACUACACUGUCGAUGCUGAAUACUGUGGAUGCAGAGGUU